UCUCUCACGCAUGCAUACCAUGGAUUGGAUCUCACAACCUCCUCCCAUGGGUGUCGGCUUCAAGCCGAAGCUGUAGACCCUGGAUCCUCUUCUUGUCACAGGAGAGUAAUUACCCUCCCGUAAUGCUGUUUAGCCGACAUAUGGCAUGCAGGUUACCGGCAACCUCUUCUUCGAUUAGCCUUUCUUCUUCUCUCUCUUUCUCAUUUUUAUUUCAAUCUCUUCUCAUUUUUAUAAUUUUUUAUUCAAUAUUCAUGAUCUUCUCUCUCUAUUCAUGGUAGUCUUCUUCGUCUUCUCAUAUGGGUCGGACUCCUCGACCAUUUCUUCCCUGUAAUCCCGCCAUUCCCUGUAACCCCACCUUGAUCCCUUCUGUUCCGCCCUCUAGUCUCCACCCACCCUCACCUGGCCACUCCAUCCCUGUAACCCCCUGCCUCCGCCCCGCCAUUACUUGCUAUCCCGCCCUCGCCCAAGCCCACUCUCUCUUUUCCUAGCUGCUACCCCACUGUUCUGCAGCUGGACCGACUUGUUUCCCACCUCUCGUGGUCUGCAGCAGUGGAGAACGAUCGCCGUAGAAAAAGUUAUGGAGGUGGAAAUUGACCACUAUGAGAUGCUGGGGUUACCGUCGUGGGAAGAGGGUGCAAAGCUCAUUGAGAGAUCGAUCUCAAAGGCUUAAAAAACUAAAGCCCUUCAAGUCCACCCAGACAAACGUCCAAAUGAUCCUAAUGCCCACUCUGAGUUUCAAAAGCUCAAGUCAUCCUUUGACAUCCUUAAAGAUGAAAAAACCCGAAAGCUCUUUGAUGAUCUCCGCAUCAAACAUGAGCAACUUCGCAAGUUAAGGUCUGAUUUUGAAAAGAUAAAGAGAGAUAUGCUUUUGCUCCGGAUGCUCCUGUUACUAAAAGAAAUAAAGAGUAUUGUGAAGAAACUUAAAGAAGAAAUUGCCAGAAUUCGUGCUAUGCAUGCUUAGAACACCACAGCUCUAGCAACAGCCUCAGGUUGGAAAAGUUGGAAAGAGGGCAGAGAAUGUUGGGGGUAGUGAAAGCAUGAACAAGGAGAAGGUGUUGAAGGCUUCUUGGGAGGGUUAAGCUAGGGUGAAGAUUAUAUUGCUCUAUGGUUGAAGGAUCUGCUUGAAAAUUCUGGAGAUGUUGAAGAUGUUGUAAUUCUGUCAAAGGAAUCAAAGAAGAGAAGGUCUAGAUGCUCUGGUGUGUUUACGACAUAUCACAAUAGUUUGUUUAGUUUAGUUGAGAUUUUACAAUUUGAUAUAACAUCUGUACAGAUGGAACUUUUGGGUACUGUUUAUGAGGCAUUUGAGAAUUCCAUAUUGGAGAAGCUUCAAAAGGUUUGAACUUUCAUGAUUGUAAGAGACAUUCCCAUUGCUCUCUCUGCUCUCAUUGAUAACCUUGAUUGUGGCAAAUGGUUCUCGAAAGCAGAUGUGAUGUGUGAUUAUCCUUUUCAUCUAAGAGGUCUGGUAGCUUUUUCUCCUUUGUUUA